rnacentral:rRNA from 1 species
AAACGUAGGAGGCAAGCGUUAUCCGGAGUUACUGGGCGUAAAGCGCGUGUAGGUGGAUCGGUAAGUUACUUAUAAAAGCCCCUGGCUAAACUAGGGGAGGUUGAGGGAUACUGCCAGUCUUGAAUGGAGGAGAGGUUGACGGAAUUCCGCGUGUAGUGGUGAAAUGCGUAGAGAUGCGGAAGAACACCAGUGGCGAAGGCGGUCAACUGGCCUCAUAUUGACACUCAGACGCGAAGGCAUGGGUAGCGAACGGG